rnacentral:rRNA from 1 species
UGAGGAAUAUUGGUCAAUGGCAGCAAUGCUGAACCAGCGACGCCGCGUGUGGGAUGAAGGGGCUAUGCCUUGUAAACCACUGUCGGAUGGGGCGAAAGAUAGGUUUCACCUAUUGGGACGGUACCAUCAAAGGAAGGAUCGGCUAACUACGUGCCAGCAGCCGCGGUAAUACGUAGGAUCCAAGCGUUGUCCGGAUUUACUGGGUGUAAAGGGUGCGUAGGUGGAUAGGUGCGUCAGAGGUGAAAUAUCUUGGCUUAACUGAGAAAAUGCCUUUGAUACGGCUUGUCUUGAGUACGAGAGAGGAUGAUGGAAUUCCUGGUGUAGCGGUGAAAUGCGUAGAUAUCAGGAGGAACACCCGUGGCGAAAGCGGUCAUCUGGCUCGUAACUGACACUGAGGCAC